UACGGGGGGGGCAAGCGUUGUUCGGAAUUACUGGGCGUAAAGGGCUCGUAGGCGGCCAACUAAGUCGGACGUGAAAUCCCCAGGCUCAACCUGGGAACUGCAUCCGAUACUGGAUGGCUUGAAUUCGGGAGAGGGAUGCAGAAUUCCAGGUGUAGCGGUGAAAUGCGUAGAUAUCUGGAGGAAUACCGGUGGCGAAGGCGGCAUCCUGGACCGACAUUUGACGCUGAGGAGCGAAAGCCAGGGGAGCAAACGGG
rnacentral:rRNA from 1 species